UUUCCGUAGGUGAACCUGCGGAAGGAUCAUUAAUGUGUUGUCAUGGGGUUCGAUGCUGGCAGCCAAUUUUUGGAUGCAUGUGCUUGCCCUAACAAUCAUCUUCCAAACACCUGUGCACAUUUUUGAGGGAGUCUUGAGUUGGUUGCCGCUCUUGGGUGAUUUUCUCACAUUCCCUUAAAUCAUUAUACGCUAUUAACAAUGUUGAACGUGCUCUGUGCCGCAAGGCCAUUAAUAUAAUACAACUUUUAACAACGGAUCUCUUGGCUCUC
rnacentral:misc_RNA from 1 species